UACGGAGGGGGCUAGCGUUGUUCGGAAUUACGGGGCGUAAAGCGCACGUAGGCGGCUUUGUAAGUUAGAGGUGAAAGCCCGGGGCUCAACUCCGGAAUUGCCUUUAAGACUGCAUCGCUUGAAUCCGGGAGAGGUGAGUGGAAUUCCGAGUGUAGAGGUGAAAUUCGUAGAUAUUCGGAAGAACACCAGUGGCGAAGGCGGCUCACUGGACCGGUAUUGACGCUGAGGUGCGAAAGCGUGGGGAGCAAACAGG
rnacentral:rRNA from 1 species